AAAAGAGCCUAGAUGAAGACAACUUAGUUAGCGCUAGUAAUUUACCAGAGAAGGAAAAAUGCUGAGAUUUCCUAUUUUACUGUUAACUUUGACCACUUCUGAAUGUUUAAUUGAAAUUAAACCGACUUAUUCUCGUUACGAAUAUUGAGUAAUGGAUAGCUAUGCUAUGCAUUAAAUAAUUAGGUGGAACCGUGAUUAAAUUCGCCCUAAUA
rnacentral:ncRNA from 1 species